UACGGAGGAUCCAAGCGUUAUCCGGAUUUAUUGGGUUUAAAGGGUGCGUAGGCGGAUUGAUAAGUUAGAGGUGAAAUGUCCGAGCUCAACUCGGGAACUGCCUCUAAUACUGUUGAUCUAGAGAGUAGAUGCGGUAGGCGGAAUGUACGGUGUAGCGGUGAAAUGCUUAGAUAUCACGCAGAACUCCGAUUGCGAAGGCAGCGUACCGGCGCCCUACUGACGCUGAAGCACGAAGGCGUGGGUAUCGAACAGG
rnacentral:rRNA from 1 species